GAUGAACGCUGGCGGCGUGCCUAAUACAUGCAAGUCGAGCGAACGGACGAGAAGCUUGCUUCUCUGAUGUUAGCGGCGGACGGGUGAGUAGCACGUGGAUAACCUACCUAUAAGACUGGGAUAACUUCGGGAAACCGUAGCUAAUGCCGGAUAAUAUUUUGAACCGCAUGGUUCAAAAGUGAAAGACGGUCUUGCUGUCACUUAUAGAUGGAUCCGCGCUGCAUUAGCUAGUUGGUAAGGUAACGGCUUACCAAGGCAACGAUGCAUAGCCGACCUGAGAGGGUGAUCGGCCACACUGGAACUGAGACACAGUCCAGACUCCUACGGGAGGCAGCAGUAGGGAAUCUUCCGCAAUGGGCGAAAGCCUGACGGAGCAACGCCGCGUGAGUGAUGAAGGUCUUCGGAUCGUAAAACUCUGUUAUUAGGGAAGAACAUAUGUGUAAGUAACUGUGCACAUCUUGACGGUACCUAAUCAGAAAGCCACGGCUAACUACGUG
rnacentral:rRNA from 1 species